CUGACGUUUACUUAUAUUUUGCAUCUCAGAAGGGCAGAUACACUCAUGAAUCUCAACCGACUUGCAUAGGAGUAAAAAGAUUGUUCACUGACGGAGGUAAAAUGAUUCUUAAUCUUUCGUGAGGUUUUCCUUUAUUGUUAGACUAUUUAUCAGAUUUUUGGCUUCUACAUAAUUUACCAAAACCAUAACUGGCAGAUGGUUUUAUACUUGACCGAAUUGUUAAAAUUAUUUCAUUACGAGGCUGAAAAAGCUGGAGUGUUCCGUUUGCUUCCAGUACAUUCUUCCAACCCAGUUCCAGUUCUCUCUCGCCAGUUUCCAAGAAGCAUAGCGUAGAUGGUAUGCUCACAGAACUUGCCUGCUUGCUUCUUCAUAUACCUUCCGUGCAAUGUUUGAUGGUGGUAUGAUUUUCCAAUUUCUCGUUUGCAGCAUUUUCUUUUUGGUUUUCGUCGUGUAUGCACUACAAAAGUAACACAGCGGGAGUAGGUUUAGAGGGUAAAGAAAUUUCUUCAUGUAAUGAGAAGUGAGGGUUUUUGCUUAACCACUUUUAUUUACUGGUUUUUUAGUCAAGUUUAUAGCACCGAGGAUAUAGGUGAACGGUGAAGCAAUUUGGGUAACAUGUUAUGAGAAGUAUACUAAAUGGUUUUUCCUUUUUUUUUUUGUUUUGUUAGAGAUUAAAGAUGUAAGUGUACCAAAUUGGAAGCUCAAAUAUUGAACAACAUGAUUUACUUCAUUUGUUAGUUGGUAAAGACUUCGUCUCUCCUCAAAACCCAUUGUAUUCCUUCGGCUCUUUUUUCUUGGUGAGAAUUGGAAUUUUUAUUUAUGUUU